rnacentral:rRNA from 1 species
GAUGAACGCUGGCGGCGCGCCUAACACAUGCAAGUCGAACGAUUAAAGCACCUUCGGGUGUGUAUAAAGUGGCGAACGGCUGAGUAACACGUGGGCAACCUGCCCCUUUCAUUGGGAUAGCCACGGAAACCGGUGGAAAUAACCGAAAAUUUGAAGACUUCCGCUGGGAGAACUCAGAAAACCUCCGGCGGAGGGGGAUGGGCCCGCGGCCUGUUAGCUUGUUGGUGGGGUAACGGCCUACCAAGGCAAUGAUGGGUAGCUGGGUUGAGAGGCCGACCAGCCAGAUUGGGACUGAGACACGGCCCAGACUCCUACGGGAGGCAGCAGUGGGGAAUCUUGCACAAUGGGCGGAAGCCUGAUGCAGCGACGCCGCGUGCGGGAUGAAGGCCUUCGGGUUGUAAACCGCUUUCAGCAGGGACGAGGCGAAAGUGACGGUACCUGCAGAAGAAGCCCCGGCUAACUACGUG